UACGGGGGGAGCAAGCGUUGUUCGGAUUUACUGGGCGUAAAGGGCGCGUAGGCGGUCGUGACAAGUCACUUGUGAAAUCUCCGGGCUUAACUCGGAACGGUCAAGUGAUACUGUCGGACUAGAGUACAGAAGGGGCAACUGGAAUUCUCGGUGUAGCGGUGAAAUGCGUAGAUAUCGAGAGGAACACCUGCGGUGUAGACGGCUUACUGGACCGUAACUGACGCUGAGGCACGAAAGCGUGGGUAGCAAACAGG
rnacentral:rRNA from 1 species